AUAGGCCUAUAGACUGACUUCCGAUCUCCUUUGAUUUACAUUUAUGCACUGAUUGCUACUCUAUUAAAUUAGUAAUUAUUAGAUAUCAAUGGAGCAUCAAAUUUUUAAAAAUUCUUAUACGCUGCUAAGUGCUAACUCAUCCAUCCUUGGUAGAUGAGUCGUUAAUCCUUUCUAUUUUUUUUAUGUAGAGAAGCACUACUUCUUAUAUGCGGACCCCAUGUUAAAUAGGCUAUUACAAGAGUUACAAUAUUUAAAGAGGGAUCCAGUCUUAAUAGAUCUCUGUAUUGCAGUUUUGAUGAGUUACUAAUCAAAGUUUUUGUUGCAAUUUCACACUUUUUGGGAGUCUGAUGGUCAGGUUAUUCAGGUGGAGGUAGUAGCUUGCUAAUGUUGGCUUUCACGUCCAGCGCAAAUACUAGUGGACGUGGACCUGUUGGGGAAAGCACGUACAUCUUUGUGUUUAGUGAGCAGGUUUCCGAAGAAAGAAAUACUCAAUGCCAUUCGGUGGUUUUCAAUGUGCCAGUGUCUACAUUCAUAGUACAUCAUUGAGUUUUACCUUCAACUAAGACUAUUUCCGUUGAGGUGAUUAUUUAUUUAUUCCUUUAUUGCUUAGAUUAGCUCUAACCAUUUUUCAGCCUUCUUUUCUGCUCUUAUUCAACUACUUAUGUACUCCUAUCUCACCAAUUGUGUACCUAUUGUUGUGUGUAAUUUAAUGUGAGGCGCCGCACUCAUCCGUUCCAGCACUGCCGAGAUGGAGGCGACAUCACGGACGACUGGAGCUGCGAGUAGAUUUGUCCAAGAUACAGCAGUGUUCGUAGUCAUAGUUCUGAUUCAAAAGAUAUACAGAUGAUUAUAUGGGUGCGUGGCAAGUAUACUGCAAUGAUGAUGAUGAUGUUCCCGAUUCACGAUGAAGACGAUGAUAGCUGUUCUCAGUUUUAGUUUAGUUGUAGGGAUGCUUUUCCUGUCGGAUGAUGUUCCUUGGUUAAGUUUUAGUUUAAGUUGUAGGGAUGUUGAUGGAUGAUUUCAGUUUAAGUUUUGCUGUCAAGAGAAUAUUCAGGUUAUGCAUCACAUUUGGAUGUUAUUCCUCCUGUAAUAUCAA